CUGUAAAACCAUACUGCUUUACUCUGCGAUUCUAUCCGAUCUCUCAAGCUAAGCAUGGUUGGGCUGGAUCAGUUGGUGCAUGGGAGAUCUCCAAGGAAAACCCAGGGUGCUACAGG
ensembl:rRNA 5S_rRNA 5S ribosomal RNA